GAUGAAGAACGUAGCGAAAUGCGAUACGUAAUGUGAAUUGCAGAAUUCAGUGAAUCAUCGAGUCUUUGAACGCACAUUGCGCCCCCUGGUAUUCCGGGGGGCAUGCCUGUCCGAGCGUCAUUGCUGCCCUCUAGCACGGCUUGUGUGUUGGGCCUCCGUCCUCCUCCCGGGGGACGGGCCCGAAAGGCAGCGGCGGCACCGCGUCCGGUCCUCGAGCGUAUGGGGCUUCGUCACCCGCUCUUGUAGGCCCGGCCGGCGCUUGCCGACACAUCAAUCUUUUUUCCAGGUUGACCUCGGAUCAGGUAGGGAUACCCGCUGAACUUAAGCAUAUCAAUAAGCGGAGGA
rnacentral:misc_RNA from 1 species